rnacentral:tRNA from 1 species
GUUAUAUUGGCAGAAUAGUGCGUUAAAUUUAGAAUUUAAAUAUGUGUUUGAUUACAUAUAAUA